CUAGAGUGGUAACAAGUAGCCAAAAGGAGAAUAAGAAAACUGAGCGAAUCCUCAAAGAGAGUCGGGACCUGGCACGUUCAUCGAGAGGCUGCAGAGGAACGUCCAAGAAACAGUUGAAAAGGCAACAACUUUGAAUCAGACUUUGUAUGAAGAUUUCCAGCUGCCCAGCUUGAUGCUUGAGAAUAUGCAGCAGAACAUUUCAUCUUUGCUCAAAACCAUACAGAAAAGGCACUUCAUGCAGUUGUACCAAAAUGUCACCCUGGAACUCAAGGCUGCUCAAGACUUACUGUCAUAAAUUCAGAAAGCAUACCAGAAGCCACAGGAAGAGUUGGAAGUGUUGAAAGAAAUAGCAAGCCGGCUCCUGGCCGAGCAGUGGACAGCUGCAGGCGGCCAGGACACUAGUGAAGGACGCAGAGGGAAAGAGCCAGGAAAGCGACCGUCUGCUGCUCGUGGCCAGCGCCAACCUGAGAGAGUUUGAGGUAUUGCAUCGGAACUGAGUAAAUUGAGAAAUACAGCAAACAUUUCAAAAGAACGCUGAUAAAAUUACCAGGCAGACCAAUGAAUCACUCUCGAUACAUAGAGCAAUUCCUGAAGAUGUGGGACACCAAGGAGCCAGAACUAAAGAGCUGGCCACAUCUGUAAACAGGAGCGCUGUGAGCACGCUGGCAGAUGUGGCAGGGGGUUGAGCUGGAAGCUGCUCGACACGUCGACUGGCCUGUCCGGGGUCAACGCCACAUUGCGAGAGACAAACAAGCUCCUGCAUGACUCGAACCUGACCACUCUGUUAGUGGAAAGAAAAAAGAUGUGGAAACACAAGCCAACCUUCUAUUUGAUCAGUUGAAACCUUUGAAGAUUUUAGAAGAGAAUCUGAACAGAAACCUUUCCGAAAUUAAACUGCUGAUCAGCCAGGCCCGGAAACAAGCAGCUUCUAAAUCUCCUGUCGUGAAGGUAACCAUUUCAGAGACUGCAUGGGAGAAGCUUUCUUAAAUGGAAAAUCCAUCAGCCUGUGGAACCACCUAGAAAAGGAGGGUAAAUGUCACGGCUGCUU